rnacentral:rRNA from 1 species
AACGAACGCUGACGGCAUGCUUAUCACAUGCAAGUCGAACGAGACCUUCGGGUCUAGUGGCGCACGGGUGCGUAACGCGUGGGAACCUUCCUAGGGGUACGGAACAACUCAGGGAAACUUGAGCUAAUAUCGUAUACGUCCGUGAGGAGAAAGAUUUAUCGCCCUUAGACGGGCCCGCGUCGGAUUAGCUAGUUGGUGGGGUAAUGGCCUACCAAGGCGACGAUCCGUAGCUGAUCUUAGAGGAUGAUCAGCCACACUGGGACUGAGACACGGCCCAGACUUCUACGGGAGGCAGCAGUGGGGAAUCUUGGACAAUGGGCGCAAGCCUGAUCCAGCCAUGCCGCGUGAGUGAAGAAGGUCUUCGGAUUGUAAAGCUCUUUUACCAGGGACGAUAAUGACGGUACCUGGAGAAUAAGCCCCGGCAAACUUCGUGCCAGCAGCCGCAGUAAAAC